UCCGCAGGCGGUCAAUUAAGUCAGAGGUGAAAUACCAUAGCUCAACUAUGGAACUGCCUUUGAUACCGGUUGACUUGAGUCAUAUGGAAGUAGAUAGAAUGUGUAGUGUAGCGGUGAAAUGCAUAGAUAUUACACAGAAUACCGAUUGCGAAGGCAGUCUACUACGUAUGUACUGACGCUGAGGGACGAAAGCGUGGGGAGCGAACAGGAUUAGAUACCCUGGUAGUCC
rnacentral:rRNA from 1 species